UACGGAGGGUGCAAGCGUUAUCCGGAUUUACUGGGUUUAAAGGGUGCGUAGGCGGAUAGGUAAGUCAGGGGUGAAAUCUUCGAGCUUAACUCGGAAACUGCCUUUGAUACUAUCUAUCUUGAAUAUUGUGGAGGUAAGCGGAAUAUGUCAUGUAGCGGUGAAAUGCUUAGAUAUGACAUAGAACACCUAUUGCGAAGGCAGCUUACUACGCAUAUAUUGACGCUGAGGCACGAAAGCGUGGGGAUCAAACAGG
rnacentral:rRNA from 1 species